rnacentral:rRNA from 1 species
AGAUUGAACGCUGGCGGAAUGCUUUACACAUGCAAGUCGAACGGCAGCACGGGGGCAACCCUGGUGGCGAGUGGCGAACGGGUGAGUAAUACAUCGGAACGUGCCCAGUCGUGGGGGAUAACUACGCGAAAGCGUAGCUAAUACCGCAUACGAACUCUGGUUGAAAGCGGGGGGAUCGCAAGACCUCGCGCGAUUGGAGCGGCCGAUGGCAGAUUAGGUAGUUGGUGGGGUAAAGGCUCACCAAGCCGACGAUCUGUAGCUGGUCUGAGAGGACGACCAGCCACACUGGGACUGAGACACGGCCCAGACUCCGUACGGGA